ACCCAUUAAGCUUUGCCUACAACUCAUUACCCAGUGAGUCCUCAUCAAAGCCCUUCAAAAUCCUAGACUGUCCUCACUCCUGCGCUUCUUUGUUGCAAUUGCAAACCCUCAUCUUCCUUUUCAAUGAGUGUCGCCUCUGCUCUGUGGUUACGCUUUAGUUCUCAUUCUUCAAGCUGAUGACGGUUCAUUUCCUUUUUCCUUUUAAUUUUCUUCCGCCUUAGCUAAUCAACAAAGGCCGUUGGUUCUCGGGGACGGGUUCUGAAAUCCCUGAACCGAUGAAAGAGGUGAACCGUAAUUUUAUCCUGAAACCACCCCAAACCGAACCAUGAUCAGCCCUACCUACAUGUGAAGUGCAUACUAGUUCCGGGCAGGAGUGGAAUGCUGCAGUUUUGGCAAGGAAAAGUCAUUGCGUAGUUUUACCACUUGUAUUUGUGCACCGCGCAAGAGUUUGGUUUACCCGGGAGACGGUGAUGACUUCAGUGGCUACAUAGAGAUAGCCCUAUGCCAAUAUUUUCCGAAAGACGGUGUUCGGUGCAGUACUAGUGACUUCCUCUUUCAGCUCUCUGUUCGUUCUCUUUUCCUAUUGAUCCUCUUCCAUCUUUGCAGUUGAAGCAUUUGGUAUCCAGAUUAACGAGUCUGCCUCCAUUGCAUCGAUCACUGAUUGGCCAGAUUCGAGCGUGAAAAUACGAGUAAGAAGAAAAGUAGUUGCUUGUAAAAUUUACCGUGAAGGCAUUAUUUAUAUAUGGAUUCCGUUCCAUUCUUUUCCCAGAAAAUCAUAACCUGCGAUCCGGUUGUGGUUUCUAGUCACUCUCUCAUCUUACAAGUUCAUCGACAAGCAGGCUGAGAUCUCGACAAGGUAAAUGAAUUCAUCGACAGUGUCUCAACAUGAAGACCAUGCAUAUACUGGAUCGAAUUCGAAAGAGAUAUAUGCAGAUAAUACGUCAAGAAGAAAACGUCUACUGCUCUUUUUAUGUUUGCCGUGUACGCUGCUCAUCAACAUGAAAAAGUUUAUGGGUCCAAGGAUUGCAGUUGUUAUUCUGGAAGGUGUUCAACAUUAUUGCACAAUAUAAUAUUCCCAUCGUUCAUCUUAG